CCUACGGGAGGCAGCAGUGGGGAAUAUUGGGCAAUGGGCGCAAGCCUGAUCCAGCAACGCCGCGUGAAGGAAGAAGGCUUUCGGGUUGUAAACCUCUUUUCUCAGGGACGAAGAAAGUGACGGUACUUGAGGAAUAAGCCACGGCUACCUCCGUGCCAGCAGCCGCGGAAAUCCGUAGGUGGCAAGCGUUAUCCGGAUUUACUGGGUGGAAAGGGCGUGUAGGCGGGACUGCAAGUCAGAUGUGAAGCCCACGGGCUCAACCUGUGGCGUGCAUUUGAAACUGUAGUUCUUGAGUACUGGAGAGGCAGGCGGAAUUCCUAGUGUAGCGGUGAAAUGCGUAGAUAUUAGGAGGAACACCAGUGGCGAAGGCGGUCUGCUGGACAGCAACUGACGCUGAGGCGCGAAAGCGUGGGGAGCAAACAGGAUUAGAUACCCCGGUAGUC
rnacentral:rRNA from 1 species